rnacentral:rRNA from 1 species
CGAGCGAGCGAUGAAGUUUUCGGAUGGAUUUGCUGAGCGGCGGACGGGUGAGUAACGCGUGGGUACCUGCCUCAUACAGGGGGAUAACAGUUAGAAAUGACUGCUAAUACCGCAUAAGGCCGCAUGGUAAAAACUCCGGUGGUAUGAGAUGGACCCGCGUCUGAUUAGCUGGUUGGUGGGGUAACGGCCUACCAAGGCGACGAUCAGUAGCCGACCUGAGAGGGUGACCGGCCACAUUGGGACUGAGACACGGCCCAAACUCCUACGGGAGGCAGCAGUGGGGAAUAUUGCACAAUGGGGGAAGCCCUGAUGCAGCGACGCCGCGUGAGUGAAGAAGUAUUUCGGUAUGUAAAGCUCUAUCAGCAGGGAAGAAGUGACGGUACCUGAAUAAGAAGCCCCGGCUAACUACGUGCCAGCAGCCGCGGUAAUACGUAGGGGGCAAGCGUUAUCCGGAUUUACUGGGUGUAAAGGGAGCGUAGACGGCAAGGCAAGUCUGAAGUGAAAGCCCGGUGCUUAACGCCGGGACUGCUUUGGAAACUGUUUGGCUGGAGUGCCGGAGAGGUAAGCGGAAUUCCUAGUGUAGCGGUGAAAUGCGUAGAUAUUAGGAAGAACACCAGUGGCGAAGGCGGCUUACUGGACGGUAACUGACGUUGAGGCUCGAAAGCGUGAGGAGCAAACAGGAUUAGAUACCCUGGUAGUCCACGCCGUANACGAUGAUUGCUAGGUGUAGGUGGGAUGCCCAUCAGUGCCGCAGCUAACGCAAUAAGCAAUCCACCUGGGGAGUA